AGCGGCGGACCGGUGAGUAAUGUCUGGGAAACUGCCUGAUGGAGGGGGAUAACUACUGGAAACGGUAGCUAAUACCGCAUAACGUCGCAAGACCAAAGAGGGGGACCUUCGGGCCUCUUGCCAUCAGAUGUGCCCAGAUGGGAUUAGCUAGUAGGUGGGGUAACGGCUCACCUAGGCGACGAUCCCUAGCUGGUCUGAGAGGAUGACCAGCCACACUGGAACUGAGACACGGUCCAGACUCCUACGGGAGGCAGCAGUGGGGAAUAUUGCACAAUGGGCGCAAGCCUGAUGCAGCCAUGCCGCGUGUAUGAAGAAGGCCUUCGGGUUGUAAAGUACUUUCAGCGGGGAGGAAGGUGUUGAGGUUAAUAACCUCAGCAAUUGACGUUACCCGCAGAAGAAGCACCGGCUAACUCCGUGCCAGCAGCCGCGGUAAUACGGAGGGUGCAAGCGUUAAUCGGAAUUACUGGGCGUAAAGCGCACGCAGGCGGUCUGUCAAGUCGGAUGUGAAAUCCCCGGGCUCAACCUGGGAACUGCAUUCGAAACUGGCAGGCUAGAGUCUUGUA
rnacentral:rRNA from 1 species